UACGUAGGGUGCAAGCGUUUGUCCGGAAUUAUUGGGCGUAAAGAGCUCGUAGGCGGUCUGUCGCGUCUGCUGUGAAAACUCAGGGCUUAACCCUGAGCUUGCAGUGGGGUACGGGCAGACUAGAGUGCGGGUAGGGGAGACUGGAAUUCCUGGUGUAGCGGUGAAAUGCGCAGGAUAUCAGGAGGAACACCGGUGGGCGGAAGGCGGGUCUCUGGGC
rnacentral:rRNA from 1 species